UUCAACAUGAUCACGUAUUGAUUAAUAUGAAUCGCGUUUAAUAGAAUAAAAAUGGAGAGCUUUCUCUAGUCUUGCACCCGAUCGUAAUUUCUAACAUUUCGCAAUUUCUUUUAUGCAAUUGUCGCAAUAUUAGCUAAACUGUUAAUGGUCAACAAUUUGUUACACUUCAAGUACAUUUUCGUACUCUUCUGAUGGCGCAUCACUGUACAAAGAAAUAAAACCCAUGGCUUAGAUGUUCGGUUUCAAGAAAAAGCUAUCCUGGCUUAGAACAUGUAAACGUGAUCGUUACCAGGUGUCUUGUAUUGUAAUUUGUAAGGUCGAGUGGAAUUGAUCAACGUGCUUCCCAAUUCCCUAUCCUCCCCAUUAUGCUUCGAGAGACCGCUAAGAAACUUUUGGGCGCCCGAAGUCGAUUACACCUUGAAGACGCGCGCCUCUAGGACGAAAAACAUAAUUCCGCCGCGCGGGAGUUGUGCGCUUUUACAUUUACAAGACCUUUCCAACGACACCAAUUUGAAAACAAUCGGACGAAAACUGUAGAAGAUAGGAAAAACUGAUAAAUCUCCAGAUUCUAUUUUGGAGAAACGGCACCCACGCGCGGAAAAUAUACGAGUACAUAGUCGAGCGGAUUUAACGCUGCCAUCCUAAAUUAGAAAAAAAUCGUCUUGUUUCAUCGUAGGCACCAGUCC